UGGGGGAUAUUGCACAAUGGGCGAAAGCCUGAUGCAGCGACGCCGCGUGGGGGAUGAAGGCUUUCGGGUUGUAAACCUCUUUCGCUAUCGAACAAGGCCCGCUUAGGGUGGGUUGAGGGUAGGUGGAGAAGAAGCGCCGGCUAACUACCUGCCAGCAGCCGCGGUAAUACGUAGGGCGCGAGCGUUGUCCGGAAUUAUUGGGCGUAAAGGGCUUGUAGGCGGCUUGUUGCGCCUGCUGUGAAAACGCGGGGCUUAACUUCGCGCGUGCAGUGGGUACGGGCAGGCUUGAGUGUGGUAGGGGUGACUGGAAUUCCAGGUGUAGCGGUGGAAUGCGCAGAUAUCUGGAGGAACACCGAUGGCGAAGGCAGGUCACUGGGCCAUUACUGACGCUGAGGAGCGAAAGCAUGGGUAGCGAACAGG
rnacentral:rRNA from 1 species